rnacentral:rRNA from 1 species
GAUGAACGCUGGCGGCGUGCCUAAUACAUGCAAGUCGAGCGAACGGACGAGAAGCUUGCUUCUCUGAUGUUAGCAGCGUACGGGUGAGUAACACGUGGAUAACCUACCUAUAAGACUGGGAUCACUUCGGGAACCCGGAGCUAAUACCGGAUAAUAAUUUGAACCGCAUGGUUCACAAGUGAAAGACGGUCUUGCUGUCACUUAUAGAUGGUUCCGCGUUGCAUUAGCUAGUUGGUAAGGUAAAGGCUUACCAAGGCAACGAUGCAUAGCCGACCUGAGAGGGUGAUCGGCCACACUGGGACUGAGACACGGUCCAGACUCCUACGGGAGGCAGCAGUAGGGAAUCUUCGGCAAUGGGCGAAAGCCUGACGGAGCAACGCCGCGUGAGUGAUGAAGGUCUUCGGAUCGUAAAACUCUGUUAUUAGGGAAGAACAUAUGUGUAAGAAACUGGGCACAUCAUGACGGUACCUAAACAGAAAGCAACGGCUAACUACGUG